rnacentral:rRNA from 1 species
AACUUUCAACAACGGAUCUCUUGUGGUUCUCGCCUCCGAUGAAGAACGCCGCGAAAUGCGAUACGUCAAUGUGGGAAUUGCAGAAUUCCGAGUGAAUCAUCGAAUCUUUGAACGCACAUUGCACUCCUCGUGGUAUCUCCGAGGAGUAUGCGCCUGUUUCAGUA